GGCACAUGAAGAGAAAGAAAGGACAAAAAGGCACUGUUUCCCUUUUGCUGAGUUCUAAAAGUCCACACAACCAAAACAACCAACGCCAUUACUCUGCUUCUUCUUCUUUUUCCCGUACGAACAGAGGCUGCAACACAUUCAUUGAAACCAUUCACGGCUCGCAGAGACGAAGUCCAAGCAAGCCCUCGUUGCAAUGGCUAAAGAGAAACAACAGCAGCAAGAAGAAGACUAUCACAAGAUGUUGCGUUCGUAUUUAGGGCUCAGCUUCUCCAUGUUUCUGGCCACGCUGGCAAACAACUCGGUGCCCGCGCUACAGGGGAAGGUGCGCAUGCUGUCGCUGCGGGCGGGGGAGGCGGCGGAGGAGCUGCGCCAGAUGAAGUCGCGGCGGCAGGAGGACUCGAAGGCGAACGCUCGAGUGGUGGAGAUCUUCGCGUCGCACCGGAACGCGUGGCAGGCGGAGGAGAAGCGCCUGCUGCAGCAGAUCGAGGCGGCGGCGGAGGAGAUCGCGCGCCUUAGGGGGCGCGUGGCAGAGCUGGAGGAGUGCGUGGCGCGUGCGGAGAAGGAGGUGGGGGAGCGGGACGAGAUGAUUGGGUUCAUGUCGCGGAGGAUAGAGGAGGAGGGAUUGGGUGGGAGGGAGCACUACGGCAAGAAGAGUGGGGAGUGGUUUCAGAAGGAGGUGGAGGAGGAGGAAUUGGUGGGGUCCACUAGGAGUUUGGAAGAGGAGGUUGAGGUUAUCUAUGAACAGCAUAGUCAACAUUUUGGGAACAAUGGCUUUGAUUCUGAGUUUAUGGCCUCUGCUUCCAAGUUCUGGGCUGAGAAAGCCUCCCUUUGGCAGGAUGUCCAAUACGAAUCCCUUGAAUCAAUGUAUAAUACAAAGCAUUUUGUUGCAAGAAGGGAGUCUCCCUGGAAGGUAGAUGGUGAUUCUGCUGGAGUUUCCUCUAAACUUAAAUUACUUGAGCAAGAUUUAUUAAAUCUAGAGAAGAUUGGUAAAAAUGAUCCUUCCAAGGCGUCGUCUUUGAUUAAGAAGCAGGCAAAGAGAUAUCAAGGGCUUUCAGAAAAAAUAGAUGAUUUGUGCCGAAGAAUAGCUAAUGAUCCCUGCGAGCCUUCCCUCAGUUCAGAAUUCCGAACCCAAACUCAAACAGAGUUUUUAUUGGAAGCAUUUCGGCUUCAACAGGGGGUAUCUGAAACUGGACAGAACCUAAUGGCAUUGCAAACUGAAAUUGGGAAGAGCAAUUACAGGGAAGAGUUGAGAAACGAGACCACACUAACCACAAGACGGUCUUUGGACUCUAUGAGGAACAACUUCAAAGAAAUCCAGCGAAAUCUGGAGAUAUGGUUGGCCAGAAUUAUUGGCGAUCUUGAGGGGAUUCUUUCAAGGGAAGGGGCAUCUCGUGUAAGAGAAUAUUAUAUUUCUAGAUACCCCUUUGUUCAAUAGAAUCUGAGAAACUGGUAGCAGUAGGAAGCCUCACCUCUCAAGCUAACAAGUUAUCUCUUGUGGCCAUCACAUUUCUUCACAUCCUUAUCAGUCAUGAUCAAAUCAAGAAAGAGACAGAAACAUGAAUCAGAAGUCAUGCAUUAAACAAUGGCAAAUCUCUUGCAUUCACCGUCAAAUUAAUUGACAUAUGAUGAUUCCGUCAUUUUCGGCCGGCCACCAUCACCACCUCUUAACG